rnacentral:lncRNA from 1 species
GGAAAUAACAUAUACAAUGAUAUGAUAUAACUUAAAUUCUAUAUUCUGUGAAACUGAGAAGAAGUCUCCCGAGUUGGUGAACUGUGAUGUGUAGGCAAGGCGAAGUUUUGAUGUAAUCCAGGCCUACAUGCUAGUGUCAGUGUGUGAUUUUCAUUUUUCAAAUUCAUUUUCUCCUAGGGCAUGCUGCAGCCUGGCUCAUGCUGACUACCAUCAGAAGGCAGCUAUGAGGUGUGAAAGCUGUAGGAUUCCCAUACAGUUAAGACACUAGGAAAAGGAUUUCUGAUGAGCCCUGACUUCAGUUAUGGUACAGAUGUCCAUCUAAAGAAUGGAUAAGGACGGUAAGUGAUUUUUACAAGUCGGAGACCCCCUGAUACUUGUAUGUGAGGGAAGAUGCAGGUGCCCUAUAAAGAACUGGCAUCCCACCCACUGUGGUCUUGCCCAGUGCCUGCCAGGUUGGGC